rnacentral:rRNA from 1 species
UUCGCAAUGCCCGAAAGGGUGACGAAGCGACGCCGCGUGGGUGAGGAAGGCCUUCGGGUUGUAAAGCCCUGUCAGGAGUUAAGAAAUGUAAGUGCGCUAAUAUCGCAUUUAUUUGACGAAGGCUCCAAAGGAAGUCACGGCUAACUCUGUGCCAGCAGCCGCGGUAAUACAGAGGUGGCAAGCGUUGUUCGGAAUUAUUGGGCGUAAAGAGCACGUAGGUGGGUUUGUAAGUCAGAUGUGAAAGCCUUCUGUUCAAUGGAAGAAUUGCAUCUGAAACUGCAAGUCUUGAGUGUAGAAGGGGAGAAUGGAACUUCUGGUGGAGCGGUGAAAUGCGUAGAUAUCAGAAGGAACGCCGGCGGCGAAAGCGAUUCUCUGGCCUAUUACUGACACUCAGUGUGCGAAAGCUAGGGGAGCAAACGGGAUUAGAUACCCCGGUAGUCCUAGCCGUAAACGAUGGGCACUAAGUAGAGGGGUUUU